CAGAGGACAGUGGCGGACGGGUGAGUAACGCGUGAGGAACCUGCCUUUCAGAGGGGGACAACAGUUGGAAACGACUGCUAAUACCGCAUGACGCAUUGAGGUCGCAUGGCCUUAAUGUCAAAGAUUUAUCGCUGAAAGAUGGCCUCGCGUCUGAUUAGCUAGUUGGUGAGGUAACGGCUCACCAAGGCGACGAUCAGUAGCCGGACUGAGAGGUUGAACGGCCACAUUGGGACUGAGAUACGGCCCAGACUCCUACGGGAGGCAGCAGUGGGGAAUAUUGGGCAAUGGGCGCAAGCCUGACCCAGCAACGCCGCGUGAAGGAAGAAGGCUUUCGGGUUGUAAACUUCUUUUGUCAGGGACGAGUAGAAGACGGUACCUGACGAAUAAGCCACGGCUAACUACGUGCCAGCAGCCGCGGUAAUACGUAGGUGGCAAGCGUUGUCCGGAUUUACUGGGUGUAAAGGGCGUGUAGCCGGGAGGGCAAGUCAGAUGUGAAAUCCACGGGCUUAACUCGUGAACUGCAUUUGAAACUGUUCUUCUUGAGUAUCGGAGAGGCAAUCGGAAUUCCUAGUGUAGCGGUGAAAUGCGUAGAUAUUAGGAGGAACACCAGUGGCGAAGGCGGAUUGCUGGACGACAACUGA
rnacentral:rRNA from 1 species